AUUGAACGCUGGCGGCAGGCCUAACACAUGCAAGUCGAACGAGAGGCGGAAGGGAGAGGAAGGAAUGGGAAAGUGACUGAUGGAGGGGGUUAAGUACUGGAAACGGGUACGAAAACCGUACAGCAGAGGCUGGGUCGAGUUGGGAUUAGGUAGUGGGUGGGGUAAAGGCUUACCUAGGCGACGAUCCCUAGCUGGUCUGAGAGGAUGACCAGCCACACUGGAACUGAGACACGGUCCAGACUCCUACGGGAGGCAGCAGUGGGGAAUAUUGGACAAUGGGCGCAAGCCUGAUACAGCCAUGCCGCGUGUAUGAAGAAGGCCUUCGGGUUGUAAAGUACUUUCAGCUGGGAGGCGUUACCCGCAGAAGAAGCACCGGCUAACUCCGUGCCAGCCGCCGCGGUAAUUC
rnacentral:rRNA from 1 species